rnacentral:rRNA from 1 species
UGCCCUAGUAACGGCGAGUGAAGCGGCAACAGCUCAAAUUUGAAAUCUGGCGCAAGCCCGAGUUGUAAUUUGUAGAGGAUGCUUCUGGGUAGCGGCCGGUCUAAGUUCCUUGGAACAGGACGUCAUAGAGGGUGAGAAUCCCGUAUGUGACUGGCUUGCACCCUCCACGUAGCUCCUUCGACGAGUCGAGUUGUUUGGGAAUGCAGCUCUAAAUGGGAGGUAAAUUUCUUCUAAAGCUAAAUACCGGCCAGAGACCGAUAGCGCACAAGUAGAGUGAUCGAAAGAUGAAAAGCACUUUGGAAAGAGAGUUAAAAAGCACGUGAAAUUGUUGAAAGGGAAGCGCCCGCAACCAGACUUUGCGGCAGUGUUCGGCCGGUCUUCUGACCGGUUUACUCGCUGUCGUGAGGCCAUCAUCGUCUGGGACCGCUGGAUAAGACCUUAGGAAUGUGGCUCCCCUCGGGGAGUGUUAUAGCCUCUGGUGAUGCAGCGCGUCUCGGGCGAGGUCCGCGCUUCGGCAAGGAUGAUGGCGUAAUGGUUGUCGGCGGCCCGUCUUGAAACACGGACCAAGGAGUCUAACAUCUAUGCGAGUGUUCGGGUGUCAAACCCCUACGCGUAAUGAAAGUGAACGGAGGUGGGAACUUUUUGUGCACCAUCGACCGAUCCUGAUGUCCUCGGAUGGAUUUGAGUAAGAGCAUAGCUGUUGGGACCCGAAAGAUGGUGAACUAUGCCUGAAUAGGGUGAAGCCAGAGGAAACUCUGGUGGAGGCUCGCAGCGGUUCUGACGUGCAAAUCGAUCGUCAAAUUUGGGUAUA